CUUCCGUAAGGGUGCCUGCGGAAGGAUCAUUA
rnacentral:rRNA from 1 species